AUACUAAUCACUUAGAAUCUUGUUAAAAUGCAGAAUCUUGGGAGUGGGUGAAGAGUGGAUUCUGCAUUUUUAACAAGCUUCUGGUGAUGCCAAA
rnacentral:pre_miRNA from 1 species